rnacentral:rRNA from 1 species
UAGGGAAUCUUCGGCAAUGGACGAAAGUCUGACCGAGCAACGCCGCGUGAGUGAAGAAGGUUUUCGGAUCGUAAAACUCUGUUGUUAGAGAAGAACAAGGACGUUAGUAACUGAACGUCCCCUGACGGUAUCUAACCAGAAAGCCACGGCUAACUACGUGCCAGCAGCCGCGGUAAUACGUAGGUGGCAAGCGUUGUCCGGAUUUAUUGGGCGUAAAGCGAGCGCAGGCGGUUUCUUAAGUCUGAUGUGAAAGCCCCCGGCUCAACCGGGGAGGGUCAUUGGAAACUGGGAGACUUGAGUGAAGAAGAGGAGAGUGGAAUUCCAUGUGUAGCGGUGAAAUGCGUAGAUAUAUGGAGGAACACCAGUGGAGAAGGCGGCUCUCUGGUCUGUAACUGACGCUGAGGCUCGAAAGCGUGGGGAGCAAACAGG